rnacentral:rRNA from 1 species
CCUACGGGUUGCAGCAGUGGGAAUAUUGCACAAUGGGCGCAAGCCUGAUGCAGCCAUGCCGCGUGUAUGAAGAAGGCCUUCGGGUUGUAAAGUACCUUCAGCGGGGAGGAAGGUGUUGUGGUUAAUAACCACAGCAAUUGACGUUACCCGCAGAAGAAGCACCGGCUAACUCCGUGCCAGCAGCCGCGGUAAUACGGAGGGUGCAAGCGUUAAUCGGAAUUACUGGGCGUAAAGCGCACGCAGGCGGUCUGUCAAGUCGGAUGUGAAAUCCCCGGGCUCAACCUGGGAACCGCAUUCGAAACUGGCAGGCUAGAGUCUUGUAGAGGGGGGUAGAAUUCCAGGUGUAGCGGUGAAAUGCGUAGAUAUUAGGAGGAACACCAGUGGCGAAGGCGGCCUGCUGGACAUUAACUGACGCUGAGGAGCGAAAGCGUGGGGAGCAAACAGGAUUAGAUACCCGGGUAGUC